GGGUGCCUAAACACAUAUUUUCCACUUUGCAAAAUUGCCAACAGACCCUACCUCUUCCCCUUCUUCUCCUCCCCGUAUAUCACCUCCCUCUUCCGUACACCUUCCAUUUCCAGCCACCACCCUUCAUCCCUCGCCUGCUGUGAGCUGUCCUUGACGUCCCCAACUCGUUUCCAACAUCCUUUCUGCCUGCAGCAGACGAGGAAGAGGCACUUGAGAGGAGGAAAGCUUCCCUCCUCGCUGUCACCUUCGGAUCAGCCUCCUACUGCCGCCCUUUGCUCCACCUGACAUCGGAAAUAGCACCCUCACCCUCCAAAGCCUUCGAACCAAGCCUCCCCGCCUCUAUCGUCAUAUGUAGCUUCCGUAUAGCCUUGUUGGAGCAUAAUUAUUUUCUCUUCAAUCUAGUGUUUUCUGAUAAUCCGACGAUUCAGCCCAUUCCAUCCGAGGCGUAGGAGCAACUUUAGGGAGUCGUUAGAACUUGUCAACUAGGUCUUCCGCAGUUCUUCUCCUUUGACAGCCCGACUUCCUUCUUCUUCGGGCUUAAUGUGAUUGAUUUUAUUUGUAUAUCUGAUUAUUAAGAAUAUAGAUUUUCUCUGAUAGUGAUUCUAAAACUUAUUAUUUUAUUUUAGCUUAUUAAACCAAUUGGAUAAAUAUUAUCUAAUUGUGCUGACGAACUAAGUUAAAUAUAUAUUAUUUAUGUGAUUGAAUAUUAGUAAUGAAAUAUUGAUGUAAUGGGUAAGAUUUUAUUUUAAUUGAGUUAUU